GUGGCGUGAAGAGGAGAGUCCAACUCAAUUUGGACUCUAGGUUUUUAUUCAAAUUCAAACCAAUUUGAACUCAAAUUUAAAUCAAUCAAUUUUUAAUUCAAAAAGACUUAGAUGAAAAUAUGGAAAAAGCUUCUAGAUAUGAGAAAAAAUUAUAUAAAAUAUUUUUCAUGUGAAGAAUAAGAGGUUGCAGAUAAAGGAGGUAU
rnacentral:lncRNA from 1 species